GUGGGUAGUUUGACUGGGGCGGUCUCCUCCUAAAGAGUAACGGAGGAGCACGAAGGUUGGCUAAUCCUGGUCGGACAUCAGGAGGUUAGUGCAAUGGCAUAAGCCAGCUUGACUGCGAGCGUGACGGCGCGAGCAGGUGCGAAAGCAGGUCAUAGUGAUCCGGUGGUUCUGAAUGGAAGGGCCAUCGCUCAACGGAUAAAAGGUACUCCGGGGAUAACAGGCUGAUACCGCCCAAGAGUUCAUAUCGACGGCGGUGUUUGGCACCUCGAUGUCGGCUCAUCACAUCCUGGGGCUGAAGUAGGUCCCAAGGGUAUGGCUGUUCGCCAUUUAAAGUGGUACGCGAGCUGGGUUUAGAACGUCGUGAGACAGUUCGGUCCCUAUCUGCCGUGGGCGCUGGAGAACUGAGGGGGGCUGCUCCUAGUACGAGAGGACCGGAGUGGACGCAUCACUGGUGUUCGGGUUGUCAUGCCAAUGGCACUGCCCGGUAGCUAAA
rnacentral:rRNA from 1 species